rnacentral:rRNA from 1 species
UACGGAGGGUGCAAGCGUUAUUCGGAAUUACUGGGCGUAAAGCGCGUGUAGGCGGGAAGGUAAGUCUGAUGUGAAAGCCCUGGGCUCAACCUGGGAAGUGCAUUGGAUACUGCUUUUCUUGAGUUCUGGAGAGGAUGGGGGAAUUCCCGGUGUAGAGGUGAAAUUCGUAGAGAUCGGGAGGAAUAUCAGUGGCGAAGGCGCCCAUCUGGACGGCAACUGACGCUGAGACGCGAAAGCGUGGGGAGCAAACAGG